rnacentral:rRNA from 1 species
GAUGAACGCUGGCGGCGUGCUUAACACAUGCAAGUCGAACGAUGAAGCCCAGCUUGCUGGGUGGAUUAGUGGCGAACGGGUGAGUAACACGUGAGUAACCUGCCCUUGACUCUGGGAUAAGCGCUGGAAACGGCGUCUAAUACCGGAUACGAGCUUCCACCGCAUGGUGAGUUGCUGGAAAGAAUUUCGGUCAAGGAUGGACUCGCGGCCUAUCAGGUAGUUGGUGAGGUAACGGCUCACCAAGCCGACGACGGGUAGCCGGCCUGAGAGGGUGACCGGCCACACUGGGACUGAGACACGGCCCAGACUCCUACGGGAGGCGGCAGUGGGGAAUAUUGCACAAUGGGCGCAAGCCUGAUGCAGCAACGCCGCGUGAGGGACGAAGGCCUUCGGGUCGUAAACCUCUUUUAGCAGGGAAGAAGCGAAAGUGACGGUACCUGCAGAAAAAGCACCGGCUAACUACGUG